CCUACGGGCGGCAGCAGUGAGGAAUAUUGGUCAAUGGACGAGAGUCUGAACCAGCCAAGUAGCGUGAAGGAUGACUGCCCUAUGGGUUGUAAACUUCUUUUAUAUGGGAAUAAAACGUUCCACGUGUGGGAUUUUGUAUGUACCAUAUGAAUAAGGAUCGGCUAACUCCGUGCCAGCAGCCGCGGUAAUACGGAGGAUCCGAGCGUUAUCCGGAUUUAUUGGGUUUAAAGGGAGCGUAGGUGGAUUGUUAAGUCAGUUGUGAAAGUUUGCGGCUCAACCGUAAAAUUGCAGUUGAAACUGGCAGUCUUGAGUACAGUAGAGGUGGGCGGAAUUCGUGGUGUAGCGGUGAAAUGCUUAGAUAUCACGAAGAACUCCGAUGGCGAAGGCAGUUCACUGGACUGCAACUGACACUGAGGCUCGAAAGUGUGGGUAUCAAACAGGAUUAGAUACCCCAGUAGUC
rnacentral:rRNA from 1 species